rnacentral:misc_RNA from 1 species
AAGUCGUAACAAGGUUUCCGUAGGUGAACCUGCGGAAGGAUCAUUAACACUUUAUAUAAAUAAGUUUUCUUGAAAGAGAAAACUUAUUAUUAUACCCACAUUUUAUGGAUGAAUUAAUUCCCCAUUAUUUUUCCAUUUUCACAUUUUUUUUAACCCCAAAAAACAAAAACAAAAAAAUUCUAAUUACAUUGACUAAUAUUGUGAUUUGUUUUUAUUAACAAUCACACAAAAAAUGCUAAGAAAAACAACUCUUAACAACGGAUAUCUUGGCUCUC